CCAUUUCCUUCUCCAAUGCAUGAAAGUGAAAAGUGAAAGUGAAGUCGAUCAGUCGUGUCCGACUCUUAGCGACCCCAUGGACUGCAGCCUACCAGGCUCCUCCGUCCAUGGGGAUUUUCCAGGCAAGAGUACUGGAGUGGGGUGCCAUUGCCUUCUCCAUUAACCACUGGACCACCAGGUAAAUCCGCAACACUAUUAAUCUUUUAAGGAAGCUCUGCUUCGGCCAAAACACUAUAUUCAUCUUCCACAAACUUGCUUUUGCUUUUUCUAUCUCUUGGCUUUUACAUCAUUACCUCUUCAUGUUUUCUACCUCUCCAAAUCCUAUUCAGACCCCAAUGCUGCCUUUCUUAUGAGCUCAAGACUAAGUGUGCAAACAGUAAGAAGGUGGAGAGCGCCGCGUAAACAGGUGACUACAACACAGGGGCACGUGUGUGCUACAGUGGAGGUUUGUGAGCAGACGCUGAAGCCAGGAGAGUGGCCAUGUCUGGAGCAUCUCUGAGUCUCCAAAGCCUCUGGGCUGUGAACAUAUGAGGGACUGAAGUUGGAAUUAAGACUGAUAAUGAUGGAUGAAAUGGCUUCCCUGGUGGUGCAGUGGUAAAGAAUCUGUCUGCCAAUGCAGGAGACAAGGGUUUGAUCCCUGGUCCAGGAAGAUCCCACAUGCCAAGGGGCAGGUAAACCCAUGUGCGCC
ensembl:lncRNA